rnacentral:rRNA from 1 species
GUUGUUGUUGAUUCCACCCCGAACACACCCUUUCUCCUCCGAUCUCGGAAGCUAAGCAGGGUCAGGCCCGGUUAGUACCUGGAUGGGAGACCGGCCGGGAAGACUAUGGGCUGUAGGCU